rnacentral:rRNA from 1 species
GAUGAACGCUAGCGACAGGCUUAACACAUGCAAGUCGAGGGGCAGCGGGGGAUAAGCUUGCUUUUCCUGCCGGCGACCGGCGCACGGGUGAGUAACACGUAUGCAACCUGCCCCUGUCAGAGGGAUAAUCCGGAGAAAUCCGGUCUAAUAUCGCAUAAAGCGUUUGCGGGGCAUCCUGCGAGCGCCAAAGGAGUAAUCCGGACAGGGAUGGGCAUGCGGCGCAUUAGCUAGUUGGGGGGGGUAACGGCCCACCAAGGCGACGAUGCGUAGGGGUUCUGAGAGGAAGGUCCCCCACAUUGGUACUGAGACACGGACCAAACUCCUACGGGAGGCAGCAGUGAGGAAUAUUGGUCAAUGGGCGGAAGCCUGAACCAGCCAAGUCGCGUGAGGGAAGACGGCCCUAAGGGUUGUAAACCUCUUUUGCCGGGGAGCAAAAGCGCCGUGCGCGGUG